rnacentral:rRNA from 1 species
GUCUGUGGAUUGUAAACCCCUUUUGACUGGGAAGAACACAAUGACGGUACCAGUCGAAUCAGCCUCGGCUAACUCCGUGCCAGCAGCCGCGGUAAUACGGAGGAGGCAAGCGUUAUCCGGAUUUAUUGGGCGUAAAGCGUCCGCAGGUGGUUUUUCAAGUCUGCUGUCAAAGCGCGAAGCUCAACUUCGUAUAGGCAGUGGAAACUGAAGGACUUGAGUGUGAUAGGGGCAGAGGGAAUUCCCAGUGUAGCGGUGAAAUGCGUAGAGAUUGGGAAGAACACCGGUGGCGAAAGCGCUCUGCUGGGUCAUAACUGACACUGAGGGACGAAAGCUAGGGGAGCGAAAGGGAUUAG